GACGAACGCUGGCGGCGUGCUUAACACAUGCAAGUUGAACGGGCAGGUAUGGAAGCUUGCUGAAGUAUCUGUUAGUAGCGGACGGGUGAGUAAUGCAUGAGAAGCUGCCAUUGGGAGGGGGACAACAGUUGGAAACGGCUGCUAACACCCCAUAUGCCGGAAGGUGAAACGGAGUGACCCGCCCGAUGAGGUGCUCAUGUCCUAUCAGCUAGUUGGUGGGGUAACGGCUCACCAAGGCGACGACGGGUAGCCGGCCUGAGAGGGUGACCGGCCACACUGGAACUGAGAUACGGUCCAGACUCCUACGGGAGGCAGCAGUGGGGAAUAUUGGGCAAUGGGGGCAACCCUGACCCAGCGACGCCGCGUGAGGGAAGACGGCCUUCGGGUUGUAAACCUCUUUUGUACGGGAAGAAGGACGUGACGGUACCGUGCGAAUAAGUCCCGGCUAACUACGUGCCAGCAGCCGCCGUAA
rnacentral:rRNA from 1 species